rnacentral:rRNA from 1 species
GACGAACGCUGGCGGCGUGCUUAACACAUGCAAGUCGAGCGGUAAGGCCCUUUCGGGGGUACACGAGCGGCGAACGGGUGAGUAACACGUGGGUGACCUGCCCUCAGCUCUGGGAUAAGCCUGGGAAACCGGGUCUAAUACUGGAUAUGACUCCAUGACGCAUGUUGUGGGGUGGAAAGCCUUGUGCGGCUGAGGAUGGGCCCGCGGCCUAUCAGCUUGUUGGUGGGGUGAUGGCCUACCAAGGCGACGACGGGUAGCCGGCCUGAGAGGGCGACCGGUCACACUGGGACUGAGACACGGCCCAGACUCCUACGGGAGGCAGCAGUGGGGAAUCUUGCGCAAUGGGCGAAAGCCUGACGCAGCGACGCCGCGUGAGGGAUGACGGCCUCGGUGUAA